UCCACGCCCUAAACGAUGAACACUAGUCGUCGGGAUGCUAGUCAUCUCGGUGAUGCACUUAACAGAUUAAGUGUUCCGCCUGGGGAGUACGGUCGCAAGAUUAAAACUCAAAGGAAUAGACGGGGACCCGCACAAGUGGUGGAGCAUGUGGUUUAAUUCGAAGAUACGCGAAGAACCUUACCUAGCCUUGACAUUGAUUGAACGGACCAGAGAUGGACCGGUGCCCUUCGGGGAACAUGAAAACAGGUGCUGCACGGCUGUCGUCAGCUCGUGUCGUGAGAUGUUGGGUUAAUCCCG
rnacentral:rRNA from 1 species